AAUAUACAAGUGAUGAGUUUGAUAAAUUCUGUCUAUAAGAAGGUAUCAAACGGCAGUUCACGGUGACGUAUACUCCACAACAAAAUGGAGUGGCAGAGCGGAUGAACAGAACCUUGCCGGAAAGAUAGGA